ACAUUUUUGACUAAAUGCAACGGUCAUAAAGCAUCUAAUACAACGGCUAAACCUGAACCGUUGCAAUAGAUACGGCUAAUACAACGGUAUGUUCCAAUCCCGCUGUGCCAUUGCAUUAGGAGGGGAAAAUACAACGACCACUACAACGGCCUAUCAUCUGAUAAGUCUUAUGCAACGGCUAUACGAAGUUAAUAAAAAAAUCUAUAAUUAUCCCGUUAUUUGUCAGCUUGUCGCACACUCACACAAAUCAAUCUUAAACCCAAGUUACCUAACCCUCCUAAAUGAGAAACUUUUUCCCCAAUUCAUUUCAAAAUAUUCAAGUUCAUGUGUUCGUGAAAAGGAGAGGAAAAGAAGAGGAGAGAGAAACCCUAGCUAAUUCCCUUUUCUAUGCCUCCAAAUCUAAACCCCCAAUUCAAUCUUCUGCCUUUGAUGAAGUAGCGAACUGGUUAGGGAAUGGGGAUCCAGAAAUUCAAGCCUCGUCGCCGUUUGAAUUCGAUGUGGUUGCUCCGGUAAGUGAUUCCCCUUUUUUGGGUGUUUUUAGCCAAAUUGUUUCUAGUUACUUCUUUAAUGCCCCCUUAUUCAAAUUAGUUUCUUGCGAAAAUUUUAAAUUUUAGGGUUAAUGUUGUUAAUAAUGGUUUAUGUAAUUACAACUUAUAAGUCGAUGGGCGAAUUUUGAUUUGAUUCAUUUAAAUUUAGGGUUUAGCUAGAAGAGUGAUUUGGGUAUAAAACAAGUUAGGUGUAAUUAAAUCUUACAAUCUUUCCAUAGGAAGAAUCUGAUUAAAAAUUAAAUAGAGUGGAAUUCAUUGACUGGAGUUUCAAGAAGGAAUACGAUUAGUUUUCCUCUCAUGUUGCCUCUCUUCUGCGAACUCCUUCAUAUCCCCCAGCAAACACAAAACUAUUAGAGGUUCUAGUAAAACUUUACUUUUUUUGAGGGGUAGUAAAACUUUACUUAAAAAAUGAUUGUUUAAUGCUUAAGAGAAGAAAUCUAUCUUCAAUGUUUUGUACAAUUAAGGUUAAAAUAACCAAUAGUUGCAUACUUUAGUGGAUUUUGUUGAUUGCAUAGAGUAACAAAGAACAUUGAGAAUAAUGGAUUUUGAAAUAUUGUCUCUUGAUUGUUGAUUCACUUUCUCAACUCUCUAUUUCUGAUUAACUAACUAAACCACAGAGAAAUUGUUAUGAUUUUCAAAAAUUAUUAUGUUAUUUACAUUUCCUAGGAUGGAAAUUUGAUACUCUUUCCUUCGAUUGGCUCUAAAUAUAGUGCUAAGUAACUUAAUGGGGUUGUGUGGAUGAUGAGAAUAGUUUGAUGCCAGUCUUAGGUGUUUGAACUUUUUGUUAAUUGUUGGAUCAACUUUAUAUCCAUUUCAUUAUGUGUGUUGGCAGCUUGGCACUAAGAUAAAGCAGGUGGAAACUAGGUGCACUUUGUGGAUAGGUGAAUUAGUUGCCAUCUCUUUUCAAGUUUUACCUUGGUUGAGAAUCUAUGGGUUCUUUACCAGUAUCAUAUCUGGUCAAGCCUAUACAAACUAUGUCCCUACACUUUUUCUUUGUGUGGAUCAGGGAGUUAAACAUUGAUGGAUUUGUAGUCAUUUUUGUGAGUUCAGGUGUUGUUAUUGUUGGUCGUCAGAGGAUUAGAUUAAAGAAAUUGGAUUGGUGCUGUUAGUGUUGGUCGUUAGAGGCUUAGCCAUGGUUGCCAGCAGGUUUGUGAUUUUCUUUCUCUUUAAGCUUGCCAUUGCCUAAGAUUUCCCUUGUGUCGUAUGAAGUAAUUUUUCUUUUUGUGAUAAAUGCAUAAAAGAACCAUAAAAUAUGGAAGUUUUACUUUCCGGGCAUCAAUCAGUAUUGAGCUCUAUAGUUGGCUUCUCGAGUCAUUACUCAUUCCUGGAAACUGUUGGCUUUGUCAAGGGUUAUUCUUGAUCUUAGUACUUGGAGAUGUGGUAAAAGAAUCUUGGGCCAUUCUGGCGAGAAGUUGUGAUUAGUAGAUAGAAAUGCUUAGUGAUCGAAGAUACCAUUGUGGGCGAAUACCCUUGCAUUGUACAAACUAAUUUUGAACUUUUGGUUUCUUCUUUCUCAUGUUAAAAGCUUAAAAUCUAUAAUGUAAAAGGAACUAUCACGUGAUAUGUUACCUUUCUUAUGUUAAAAAUUAAUUUUUGAACUUCAAGUAUAUUUUUAAUAGUGCAAUUUUGCUGACCUCCAAAACCCGCAAGCUGAACAAAGCAUGUGCUGUUGUUAGGCAUAAUGGUCUCAUGGCUCUCUAUGACACAUUAUUCAAUUAGGUGAACCUGGUUGCUGCUCAACUUCUUGUUACAGAUAACGACUUUAGGGAUCCAAAUUUUAGAUCACAACUUUUUUAAACUGAAAUCAGUUACUGGAUUCAAAAGUGGUACCUAUUCUAAAUGAAAAUGAUGCGGUAAGUACCCGAAAUGCUCCUUAUGAGGUAUGUACUGUUUAAAAACUUAAUUUUAUUUUCCCCUUUGUAACGUGGGUUCUACAUUAAACAAGGUAAAAGCAGUGACCAGAUAGCUCAAAACAAGUAAUAUCAUUUGAAUAAUCACUGAGGGUGGGGGGAAGCAGAGCAACUAGAUCGUUUGAUUUAGCAAACCUGGCAGUUUAAUAUUUUAUAAUAUUAACUAUGUUGAAAGUAAAUAACUGGAAGAAAAUGAUAUUAUAUAGCGUAUUUGUUCCUCAUAUAAGAACAUGAUUUGUAUGUCAUUGAGGGUUUCAGAUCAGCCACAAAAGAUAUUAUUAAGUUUAUUGGUAAACCUAUUUUCUUGAUUAUCUUACACAAUUUCCUUUACGUGGUUGUUAUGUGUAAUUUCUUUGAAAUUGACAAGGCAACAAGCAAUAUUAUAAAGUGGCACUCUAUUUCACCAGGAUGCAUACUUAUGGUCUUCAGCUAAAGAAGCUGGUUCUCUGCAAUUUUGUUUGACACCUAGGUAGAGAGAAAGCGUACAUGGUACUGGUUUGGAAAUGGAGGAUCAUAAGAAUGAUGGCGAGCUUCACAGGACUUAUAUGGCAGAUAGUCAGUCUCUAAAAUAUCUUCUUACAUAUUAUGUUAUACUCUUUCUUAGGCUAACAGGGAUUUAAUUAGUUUUUUAGCUUCUUCUUUUGUUGAAAUUUUGUUUCUUAGCUAAUUCAGUAGCAUUUCAUUUUGUAACCCACUGAUGGGAAAGGCUAAAUUGUAUAUGUACAUUUUCAAUCUCAAUGAAAUAUCAUUACUUAUUAUCAUGAAA